GGUGCAGAACAUUGACAGUGAGGGAAGCUUCAGCCAUGUUGAUAGGCAAAUCAAUGGCUAAGUUGUCAGGCUGAGCAAUUGAGAAGUCACCCCUCUCCCUACUAGGAAGAGGUCUGGUAGUUUGUUUUGUUUUCUUUUCUGUUUUCCAAAGUAUUUCAGGGUUGUAGUUCGGGAUUUAUCUUGCUUUGUCCCUUUUUCGUUUAUGUUCG
rnacentral:lncRNA from 1 species